AGAGUUUGAUCAUGGCUCAGGACGAACGCUGGCGGCGUGCCUAACACAUGCAAGUCGAACGGGGUGAGGCCCUUCGGGACCUUUACCUAGUGGCGAACGGGUGAGUAACGCGUGAGGAACCUGCCUUUCAGUGGGGGACAACAGUUGGAAACGACUGCUAAUACCGCAUGAAGCUUUUGGGAGACAUCUCCUGGAAGCCAAAGCUUAAUGUGCUGAAAGAUGGCCUCGCGUCUGAUUAGCUAGUUGGUGGGGUAACGGCCCACCAAGGCGACGAUCAGUAGCCGGUCUGAGAGGAUGAACGGCCACAUUGGGACUGAGAUACGGCCCAGACUCCUACGGGAGGCAGCAGUGGGGAAUAUUGGGCAAUGGGCGAAAGCCUGACCCAGCAACGCCGCGUGAAGGAAGAAGGCCUUCGGGUUGUAAACUUCUUUUACCAGGGACGAAGGACGUGACGGUACCUGGAGAAAAGGCAACGGCUAACUACGUGCCAGCAGCCGCGGUAAUACGUAGGUUGCAAGCGUUGUCCGGAUUUACUGGGUGUAAAGGGCGUGUAGGCGGAGAUGCAAGUUAGGAGUGAAAUCUAUGGGCUCAACCCAUAAACUGCUUCUAAAACUGUAUCCCUUGAGUAUCGGAGAGGCAAGCGGAAUUCCUAGUGUAGCGGUGAAAUGCGUAGAUAUUAGGAGGAACACCAGUGGCGAAGGCGGCUUGCUGGACGACAACUGACGCUGAGGCGCGAAAGCGUGGGGAGCAAACAGGAUUAGAUACCCUGGUAGUCCACGCUGUAAACGAUGAAUACUAGGUGUGGGGGGACUGACCCCCUCCGUGCCGCAGUUAACACAAUAAGUAUUCCACCUGGGGAGUACGACCGCAAGGUUGAAACUCAAAGGAAUUGACGGGGGCCCGCACAAGCAGUGGAUUAUGUGGUUUAAUUCGACGCAACGCGAAGAACCUUACCAGGACUUGACAUCCAACUAACGAAGUAGAGAUACAUCAGGUGCCCUUCGGGGAAAGUUGAGACAGGUGGUGCAUGGUUGUCGUCAGCUCGUGUCGUGAGAUGUUGGGUUAAGUCCCGCAACGAGCGCAACCCCUAUUGUUAGUUGCUACGAAAGAGCACUAUAGCGAGACUGCCGUUGACAAAACGGAGGAAGGCGGGGACGACGUCAAAUCAUCAUGCCCCUUAUGUCCUGGGCUACACACGUAAUACAAUGGUGGCCAACAGAGGGAAGCGAAGCCGUGAGGCAGAGCAAAUCCCUAAAAGCCAUCUCAGUUCGGAUUGCAGGCUGCAACUCGCCUGCAUGAAGCUGGAAUUGCUAGUAAUCGCGGAUCAGCAUGCCGCGGUGAAUACGUUCCCGGGCCUUGUACACACCGCCCGUCACACCAUGAGAGUCGGGAACACCCGAAGUCCGUAGUCUAACCGCAAGGGGGGCGCGGCCGAAGGUGGGUCCGGUAAUUGGGGUGAAGUCGUAACAAGGUA
rnacentral:rRNA from 1 species